ACCGGGGUUCUGGUUGAAUCUGGUUGAAUGGCGAGGGGAGGCCAUUUUUGAAAGAAAAUGCCAUCUCCUUGGAGGUGACAGAGAAAGCCAUGGGAGGAAAUGAAUUCUUUGACAAAAAGAAAGCAAAGGGGAGGUCCAACGGCAUAAUGAGAUAGAGCCAGUUAGGGGUGAGAAAAGGGAGAGGAAUAAGAGGUAGGAACAGGAGUAAUCAGGGAGGUAUGAGAAUGACACAUAAUUACUAUAGAAACUAUGUCAAUAAAAAUCCUUCUGAAGCAUGAGGAAACAGUAAAAUUAACUGCUGCAAAAGAGACAGUAAGGAGAAUUAAAAAUUAGAAAACGUACAUCUGCCCACCAGGAGGUCAUUGAGAAGAACAGGAAAAAGACUGGAAGGUUUUCCUAUGUGGGAACUUAUGUCACAAGGUAAUUUUACACAUUUCCAGCCUUUCUGUAAGAGUGUACACUGGAAAAAUCCUGUGUUCCCUCAUCAUCUCCAGUCCUCAAGGAGUGUUGCAUGGUAUUUUCAGGCCUGCUCCUGCAUCCAGACUUAAACAGGGUUGGGAUCCACCAUCUCUCUGAAAGGAGCUUGGUGCACCAGGAUGACCACUUCCCUCGGUGGCUGUGGAGAGGGUGUCCAAGGGCUGGUGGCCUAGGCCUGCCACAGAAGCCUGAAAACUUGCUGGAAUAGAUCCUGGAAAGGCCAUGGAGAAUGGAUGCAGGGACAACCUAAAAGAGGGUCUGAUGGAGGAGAGAAAGCAGGCUGAUCCUGGGCCCUUGGGUGCUGGAGGAAGAGGCCCCCUGAAGGGAGCAGGAGAAGAAAGGACAGCAGAGGAGUGCUGAAAUUCACCUUGCUGACUGCCCUGCUGACUGCCCUGGGCCACUGUUCUUGGCUUUAGGAGAUUCAAAGUCUAAGAAAGAUCCCUUUCCCCUGAUCCGCCAAAGUUUUCAUUUCCUGGAGAAAUAGCUUCUCUCUCUGCGUGUUUCCGUCAACUCUCAGCAAGACCUGAACAAGUGCAUGAAGGUGAUAAACCUGCUACUUCACUGGGGCUGUUUAUUUCCAGUCGACAAAUAUUGUGCCAAUGUUCACUUCAAUUAGGGGACACAUUUGACAAUCUGACUACUCCAUCUGAUGCCUCAAGGGCAAAUUUCAGCUCUUUCAGGAAGGGAUGGGCCAAUAACGGAUUCGUAUGAAUAAAAUAUACAGAGAAGGAACAUUCGCAGCAGUUUGGGGAAACCACCUUCUCCAGCAAGGAGAGCAAAAUGUCUACAUGAAGAUAAAAUUCACAUAAAUAAAGCAUGGGGCUUAAACUGUUGGGAUGCUGGGAAUUCAGAGUGAAGGCUCCUGUGCCUGCUUGCCCAUCACCUGCCUGGAGUUGGGAAUUAAGAAGUGCAAAUCAGCACUAAGGAGCCUAAGACAUUUGUAAUUCUAUGGAAGAAAAUCAUUGUGGCAGAGUUCAACUCGCUAAGAAUCUUACUCGUUUAUUCCAGUUUUAAAAACCAUCCUAGCAACCAGAAGUUUUUUGUGGUGUUUAAUUUUUAAUCCUUCUGUUUAAUUCCCUUUCUUCUUUAUUACCCUGAAGAUAAUCAGAAAAGCUGCUCAGCAUCCCCUUUUUACAGCUUUUCACAUCCUGGAAGGUAGAGUCAAGGACCAGGUCCCAUGAAUAGAGCUCUUCCUGCUCGGAAUUGACCUUGGGUCCAUGUUACCCUUUUCCUGGCAGCAGCAGACUAGAGGAUGAGUUAGGUCUUCUGUAGCACCUGCCUUGGGCAAGUGCCAUCAGCUCGCUGGACUCCUGUAUUCCCAUCAGGGAAAGGGAAAGUCAGUUCCUUCCUCAUCUUGGAAGGGUCUCCUGGGAAUCAAGUCAGGUGCUAAGAGGGGAAGGAAGUGAAAGUUUGAUAGAAAUGAAGGGACUCUCGUCGUUUGGUUCCUGUUUUUUGGGCUGACCUGGUCAGUACAAAGAACUCCCAGAGGCAGCUUCGUCACUGAGAUGGGAAAACAAAAGCAAAAAUUACCCUUAAGGCCAGGCUCAGUGGCCCACACCUAUAAUCCCAGAACUUUGGGAGGCCAAG
rnacentral:lncRNA from 1 species